rnacentral:rRNA from 1 species
CAAUAGCGUAUAUUAAAGUUGUUGCAGUUAAAAAGCUCGUAGUUGGAUUUCGGGGUGGCCUGCCUGGUCCACCGCAAGGUGAGUACUGGUCAGCCGCCCUUCCUCUCGAAAGCCCCGACUGCUCUUCAUUGCAGUGGUCGGGUAGUUCGGGACGUUUACUUUGAAAAAAUUAGAGUGUUCAAGGCAGGCUCUCACCUGAAUACAUUAGCAUGGAAUAAUGGAAGAGGACCUCGGUCCUAUUUUGUUGGUUUCUAGGGCCGAAGUAAUGAUUAAGAGGGACAGUUGGGGGCAUUCGUAUUUAAUUGUCAGAGGUGAAAUUCUUGGAUUUAUGAAAGACGAACUAGUGCGAAAGCAUUUGCCAAGGAUGUUUUCAUUAA